rnacentral:rRNA from 1 species
UACGUAGGGGGCGAGCGUUGUCCGGAUUUAUUGGGCGUAAAGAGCUCGUAGGCGGCUUGGCAAGUCGGGUGUGAAACCUCCAGGCUCAACCUGGAGACGCCACUCGAUACUGCUAUGGCUAGAGUCCGGUAGGGGACCACGGAAUUCCUGGUGUAGCGGUGAAAUGCGCAGAUAUCAGGAGGAACACCGGUGGCGAAGGCGGAUCUCUGGGCCUUACCUGACGCUCAGGUGCGAAAGCUAGGGGAGCGAACAGG